CAACUUUCAACAACGGAUCUCUUGGCUCUCGCAUCGAUGAAGAACGCAGCGAAAUGCGAUAAGUAAUGUGAAUUGCAGAAUUCAGUGAAUCAUCGAAUUUUUGAACGCACCUUGCGCUCCUUGGUAUUCCGAGGAGCAUGCCUGUUUGAGUGUCA
rnacentral:rRNA from 1 species